rnacentral:rRNA from 1 species
CCUCGGGUGGCAGCAGUGAGGAAUAUUGGUCAAUGGCCGGAAGGCUGAACCAGCCAUGCCGCGUGAAGGUCAGUGCCCUAUGGGCGUUAUACUUUUUUUGUGCGGGAGCAAUAAUGGACACGUGUGGCCAGACGAGAGGAUCGUACGAAUAAGCAUCGGCUAACUCCGGGCCAGCAGCCGCGGUAAUACGGGGGAUGCAAGCGUUAUCCGGAUUUAUUGGGUGUAAAGGGUGCGUAGGCUGGGAGGUAAGUCAGCGCUGAAAUGCCCCCGCUCAACGGGGUGGAGUGCCAUUGAUACUGCCUUGCUGGAAUGCGGAUGCCGUAGGAGGAAUGUGUGGUGUAGCGGUGAAAUGCAUAGAUAUCACACAGAACACCGAUUGCGAAGGCAUCUCACGAAUGCGCGAUUGACGCUGAUGCACGAAAGCGUGGGUAUCAAACAGGAUUAGAUACCCCGGUAGUC